rnacentral:tRNA from 2 species
GGGCCAUUAGCUCAGUCGGUAGAGCACCUGACUUUUAAUCAGGGUGUCGGAGGUUCGAAUCCUCCAUGGCUCACCA